UGUGGCAGGUGUUAAAGGAAGUUCCCUUUCCCUGUCUCCCUCCCUCCCAGUUAAUUCUUCUCACUGCAGUUGGUUAUCCUGUUGAAGCAAAAUCAGCUUUAUUACUGCUCUGCUGAGAGCCAUCUGGGGGCUUCCUAUGGGAGUAGAAGCUAAACUUGUAGAGGAUGUACUUGUCUACCUUCUCUGUCCCUGCCUCCCUCCCCUCCAUUCCCUGACACUGUCACCUUUUACUCUUCUCUUUCUUCACUCUGCUCCUCGUUCCAUCCCGCUUACUGUUCCUCGAACCCAUCAGUGCUUCCUUUCCAUUUUCAGGACUUCGCCUUUGAGGUAUGUCCAUCCCGGACUGCUCCCCCAGCAGAACCAGCCUGGUGCGUUCCCUGUUCAUUUACGGGCCUGGUGUUUGUCUCCACCUACUAGAAGCUCCGUGAGAGGUUUUAUCUGGUUUUGUGUAUUGCUAGACCCCAUGUGCCGGAAUGGGACCCAACACGAUGGCUUAGUAAAUACCGUUGGCCAGAUGAUUGAGCGAUUCGUCCACAGACCACAGCCCUGGCUGUGGACCCCGAGGGAGAUUGACAGGAACACAGCAUUGCUUACUUGGCAGACCUCCUAAAUUUAGAUGCCUCUGUCAGGUGAGGGAUGUUCAACCCUUCCCUAUCACCUGGGGUGAAUCACAGUUUUGUGGUUUUGUUCGGCAUCUUAUAGUCUGACAUUCCUCAAAACGUGGAAGCUAGAUGUAAUUCUUAACUGUGAGAAAACUUUUCCAGUCUGGCUUCAAGCAUUGCAGAAGUCUUGAAGGCAGUCACCCAGAAGCUUCCAUGUGUCGAUGACUGUGCAGACCCAGAGAAACACUCCAGAUAAUAUUGACCCUUAUGUAGUUUUUGCAUGGUGCUGCUCGUAGAUGAUAAGCCCAGUGAAGGCGGAGCUUCAUAUCGAAUUGGUACUGUUUCUGCUCCCCCAGCAGCAUGAUGGCCGACCAAGAGGAGAAAACUAAGUCAGACUAACCAGCCACAAAGAACACGGGUAGAACAGAAUCUUAUAUGUUCCAAGGACUUGGCUAACGAUUUCAUCAGUAAGGCUCUUCAUAAUAGUUAUACGGGUAAUUGACCUGAGGUUCGACAACUUCCUGGCGGUGCCCUGCCUGGAUACCUGACCACUUGUUGUUUUUCUAUUUGCAUUAAGGCAGUGACCAAGAUGAUUUUUGAGGGGAGGGAGAUAUUCCUUGGAGGACAGGAUAAAAGGUUAGUCUUUACUAUUUUUAGUAUCCCCCCCACUGCUGAGCACAGUGACCCAUGUGCUGCGGAUCCCAGUCAAGCCUGCUGUCGCCGACAUUAAGUUCAGACUGUGACUUCCCAGGGAAGAAUCUCCUUGACUAAGAGAGUGGGUCAGGGUGAAAGGUCCCUUGAGUCACCAAACUCUUCUGUUGAUGAUAGCAAAGCCAAGACCAGACGUGCCAGUGAUGCUGAUUUUACGUGCAUCGGUCACUAACACAUUUGCUGGGUUUCCAUAAAAUGCGAGAAAGUGAUCACAGACCAACUGCUCAUAAAUCCGCCAAACCCCCUACAGGCAGAGGGCCUUGAGAGAAAGAAGCUAAGGGCACAGCUGCCAACUGAGGAGUGAGGCAAAUAGCUCUUUGAAGAGGCCCAAGGCCACACCAUUCUCCCAGGGUCCCCUGGAGAAGUGAGGGGUGAGGCUGGCUGGCUGUCUGUGUGAGGAGAUGUCUCCCAGCAGGCUGAGAACGGAAGGGUUGUGGACAUGCCCGAGGCUACCCACAGAGGAAUUUGGAAGUGAAUAAAUAGUCACAUCUGCACAUUCCCUUAGAAGAUUUUUUCACAGCUUGAACUGGCUACUAAAAGGUAGGCACCCCCCCUUUAAAGAACGUUUAAAAAAAACAAGGAUGCAGUUGCUUUCUGUGAGAGUAUGCUUGCUGUUGAUGUUCAGCUCUCUAUAAAUGUAUAUUAAGUAAAUGUUACUACCAUUUGUGAGUAUGGUAGUGAGUAUGUGAGUAUUCUAUUAGCUGUUAAGUUAAAUUAGCUGUUAAGUUAAAACCAAAAUGCCUGUCCCUAUGUAGAAGGUGUGGAAAGAAACACAGUUUCUUUCGUAUUUGGUCCUUCAGUAUGGCAGAGUGCAGAGUUGAAAUAUUUGAAGAGUUCAGGCAUUGGUAUAUUAUGCAGGUACCAGUUGGAGACCCACAUACGUCUUUUCUUUAUGAUGCUUCUCCAAAAAACGUUUCUCUUGUUAACGCUUAGAUUUGGUUUGGGGUUUUGGUGUUUUAGACCAAACACUGGAUUUAGGUAAAGGAUUCAUUAAUGAGAAUGCAUUUUUCACUACUGCCCAAUGAAUAUUUGAUGGCAUUUUUGUUGCCUUGAAAUGGUAAGAUGCCGUAAAUACCUCUGAACAAGCUUUUCAAGAAGUUCAUAUUACUUCUCAGAAAAGCUGACGUUCGCCUAACCAUGAUAAGGCAGGGCUGUAGUCUCCCUCCUCCUCUUGGGUAUAUCGGUCUCUUAUAUUCAGCCAACUCCAUGAAAAGGUGUAGGAUUUCCCCUGAGGUUUCAGGAGCCCAUAAUGUUAUUACCAUAAUUGAUCGGUCUUAAAAUUCUUAAAUUCUUAAAUAAGAAGAUUCACUUUUUAUUUUUUCUUUUUGCCAACACCUGCAGUCAGAUGGUUCCCUGUUUUUUUUUUUUUUAAUAGUGUGUGUCAGAAGUGGCUCCUUAUAAAGACUAGGAUCAUUUCCUUUUCAUAAAGCUUUCUGAGAAUAGUGAUACUGCUUUGCUAAAAAUGUCUCUUCUGCAGAAGAAACUUUCCCUAAGCACGCAAACAUGAUGAGUGUGUGUGAAAUGUGGCCAGUAACGGUAGCCAUACUUGGCAAAGGCGAGUGACAGGAGUGAACCCAGGUUUGUGCGUUGUCAGCCUGGGAGGGUUUAGAUGUGGCCCAGCCUCCAGGUGGGAACCUGAACCGCAUCCCAAGAGACAUGCCUACCUCAGGAGGCUAAACACAGAAACACUCUCCUCAAACCUAGCGAGUCAGUUAAUUAACUGGAUUUAUAAUUCCAUAAUUGAGACUCACUCUUAUGGAUGGUUAGGCAGUUAACUAGCCCUAUGGAAGUGAUAUGGAAUUCUAAUCAAGGUGGAAUUGAAUAGCAGGGUAGAAACUCGGCAGGUCCGUGGCUUCUGUGCUGUGGGAAAAAGGGAUCUGGACCAAGGAUGAAUACCUGGUUAAUAAGGUCUUGAGAAGUGCCUGAUAGCUUUUUCUUUAAGACUAGGGAUGCAAGAUAGAACUAUGAAACAUGAGAAAAAUGAGAUUUAAGUUGAGAUUGGCAAAAGGGGUAUUUUAUUUUUAUUUAAAAAAAUGUUUAUUUAUUUAUUUUGAGAGAGAUGGAGAGAGUGCAAGUGGGAGAGGAGCAGACAGAGAGGGAGAGAGAGAAUCCCAAGCAGCCUCCAUGCUCAGCACGGAGCCCGAUGCGGGGCUUGAUCCUGUGACCCUGAGAUCAUGACCUGAGCUGAAAUCAAGAGUCAGAUACUUACCCGGGUGAGCCACCCAGGCACCCGGGGAUAACACCACAUCAGCCCACUGGACUUUUACUUGGUCUCUAAAACAGAACAUAUAAGCUGGGAGUUCAUGACCAGCUAUGAACUGACUUGGGUCACGGUAAAUGUGAUUUUUGUCCCUCUACAUUUACACCUGCCUCAGUCUGCUUUGGGGUCCUGUAGCUGUCCCUGCCUCCUGCCAUCAAGGCUCCCCGGCUGUGCUGUUUGGCAGGAUUGGAUUUUGUCAGUUGCCUCCCACAAAGGAAAUGCUCAGGAGGCAUAUGUUGCAGCGCCUUUCCGAAAUAGUUGAAGAUGUCACCUUCAUAAACAAAAGGACUGGAUUUAUUUUCUUUCUCCCUUCCCUUCUUUUGAUGAUCAAAAGACAGAACAUUUUAAGUACUCCCCAUUUCCCCCCCCACCCCCUUCUUGACUGAUUGGAAGAAAUGCUGUUACAUGGCAGAAUAUUGGCAGUGAGUAGAAAUACAAAGCAGGUUUAACAUUAACCUUAUGGAGGAACAGUGCAAGACCAGUGGAAUGAUGAAAGAAAAGGCUUACUAAUAAUAUUACAUACUAGUAUAAUUAAAUAAGUAUGGAAAAUUUCGUGCAUUUGAAUGGUGGUCUAGAUCCUAACACUUAACCACUCACUUUCAAACAGAAGCUAUUUUUGUAAGCACGUAGGAGUCUAGUAAUAUUUUUUGGCUAGAAAUCAUUUAAAGUUUACAUCACUGUAUAGCAUGGAUUAAGCAGGUGCAAGGAAAUUGAAGAAGAGAAUGUUUAGAUUUCAGAAAGUGAAUUCCAUGUAACUGUGAGAGGUGGAGCUUGGAUUAGUGCCACAGUUUUGUGGAAGACGCUUUAGUGACACAGUGUUUCUGUGCCUGAUUCUUAUACACACACACACACACA